rnacentral:sRNA from 1 species
UGGAAAUGGGAGCAUUUACAGAAUUUGCUGCAAAAUGUAGUGGCCAGAGAGACCAUCCCGUUUGCCUUGUAAUCAAUGCCAAAAAUUAUCAACGGUCUCGAUAAGCGACUAGUUGUGUGUGUGUGUGUGUGUGUGUGUGUGUGUGACGACUAUAACUGUACUGCUGGAAAAUUUAAAACUGAUAUCAGGCUCCAA